UACAGAGGGGGCAAGCGUUGUUCGGAAUUACUGGGCGUAAAGGCGCGUAGGCGGCCUUCUAAGUCGAACGUGAAAUCCCCGGGCUCAACCCGGGAACUGCGUCCGAUACUGGAAGGCUUGAAUCCGGGGGAGGGAUGCGGAAUUCCAGGUGUAGCGGUGAAAUGCGUAGAUAUUGGGAGGAACACCAGUGGCGAAGGCGGACUCACUGGACCGGAACUGACGCUGAGGCGCGAAAGCGUGGGGAGCAAACAGG
rnacentral:rRNA from 1 species